UACGAACUGUGCAAACGUUAUUCGGAAUCACUGGGCUUAAAGGGUGCGUAGGCGGCCAUUUAAGUAGGGUGUGAAAGCCCCCGGCUCAACCGGGGAAUUGCGUCCUAAACUGGGUGGCUCGAGUGAGAUAGAGGUGUGUGGAACUUCCGAUGGAGCGGUGAAAUGUGUUGAUAUCGGAAGGAACGCCGGUGGCGAAAGCGACACACUGGGUCUUAACUGACGCUGAGGCACGAAAGCCAGGGAGCGAACGGG
rnacentral:rRNA from 1 species